rnacentral:rRNA from 1 species
GAGUUUGAUCAUGGCUCAGAUUGAACGCUGGCGGUAGGCUUAACACAUGCAAGUCGUGCGAGUAAGUAUCUUCGGAUAUGAGUAGAGCGGCGGACGGGUGAGUAACGCGUAGGAAUCUACCUAGUAGAAGGGGAUAGCCCGGGGAAACUCGGAUUAAUACCGUAUACCUCCUUCGGGAGAAAGAAGGCCUCUCUUUGAAGCUUUCGCUAUUAGAUGAGCCUGCGUAAGAUUAGCUUGUUGGUGAGGUAAAGGCUCACCAAGGCGACGAUCUUUAGCGGGUCUGAGAGGACGAUCCGCCACAUUGGGACUGAGACACGGCCCAGACUCCUACGGGAGGCAGCAGUGGGGAAUAUUGGACAAUGGGCGCAAGCCUGAUCCAGCCAUACCGCGUGUGUGAAGAAGGCCCUAGGGUUGUAAAGCACUUUAAGUUGGGAAGAAAAGUUAUUGGUUAAUACCCAAUAACCGUGACAUCACCAUCAGAAUAAGGACCGGCUAAUUCCGUGCCAGCAGCCGCGGUAAUACGGAAGGUCCAAGCGUUAAUCGGAAUUACUGGGCGUAAAGCGCGCGUAGGUGGUUUAUUAAGUUGGAUGUGAAAUCCCCGGGCUCAACCUGGGAACUGCAUCCAAAACUGAUUCACUAGAGUACGAUAGAGGGAGGUAGAAUUCACAGUGUAGCGGUGGAAUGCGUAGAUAUUGUGAAGAAUACCAAUGGCGAAGGCAGCCUCCUGGAUCUGUACUGACACUGAGGUGCGAAAGCGUGGGUAGCGAACAGGAUUAGAUACCCUGGUAGUCCACGCCGUAAACGAUGUCAACUAGCUGUUGGAAAACUAUGUUUUUCAGUGGCGCAGCUAACGUAGUAAGUUGACCGCCUGGGGAGUACGGCCGCAAGGCUAAAACUCAAAUGAAUUGACGGGGACCCGCACAAGCGGUGGAGCAUGUGGUUUAAUUCGAUGCAACGCGAAAAACCUUACCUAUACUUGACAUACUUGGAAUGCUUUGUAAUGAAGCAGUGCCUUCGGGAGCCAAGAUACAGGUGCUGCAUGGCUGUCGUCAGCUCGUGUCGUGAGAUGUUCCGUUAAGUCGGAUAACGAGCGCAACCCUUACCCUUAUUUGCCAGCGAUUCGGUCGGGAACUAUAAGGGGACUGCCGGUGAUAAACCGGAGGAAGGUGAGGACGACGUCAAGUCAUCAUGGCCCUUACGUAUAGGGCUACACACGUGCUACAAUGGAGAAUACAGACGGACGCUAAGCCGCGAGGUGGUGCUAAUCCUAGAAAAUUCUUCGUAGUCCGGAUUGGAGUCUGCAACUCGACUCCAUGAAGUCGGAAUCGCUAGUAAUCGCGAAUCAGCAUGUCGCGGUGAAUACGUUCUCGGGUCUUGUACACACCGCCCGUCAUACCAUGGAAGUGGAUUGCACCAGAAGUAGAUAGUCUAACCUUCGGGAGGGCGUUUACCACGGUGUGCUUCAUGACUGGGGUAAAGUCGUAACAAGGUAACC